GGGUUGUGAGGUUAAGCGACUAAGCGUACACGGUGGAUGCCCUGGCAGUCAGAGGCGAUGAAGGACGUGCUAAUCUGCGAAAAGCGCCGGCGAGGUGAUAUGAACCUUUGACCCGGCGAUGUCCGAAUGGGGAAACCCAGUGUGUUCCGACACACUAUCGUUAACUGAAUACAUAGGUUAACGAGGCGAACCGGGGGAACUGAAACAUCUAAGUACCCCGAGGAAAAGAAAUCAACCGAGAUUCCCCCAGUAGCGGCGAGCGAACGGGGAGCAGCCCAGAGUCUGAAUCAGCUUGUGUGUUAGUGGAAGCGUCUGGAAAGUCGCACGGUACAGGGUGACAGUCCCGUACACGAAAGCACACAGGUUGUGAACUCAAAGAGUAGGGCGGGACACGUGGUAUCCUGUCUGAAUAUGGGGGGACCAUCCUCCAAGGCUAAAUACUCCUGACUGACCGAUAGUGAACCAGUACCGUGAGGGAAAGGCGAAAAGAACCCCGGCGAGGGGAGUGAAAUAGAACCUGAAACCGUGUACGUACAAGCAGUGGGAGCACCUUCGUGGUGUGACUGCGUACCUUUUGUAUAAUGGGUCAGCGACUUAUAUUCUGUAGCAAGGUUAACCGUAUAGGGGAGCCGAAGGGAAACCGAGUCUUAACUGGGCGUUAAGUUGCAGGGUAUAGACCCGAAACCCGGUGAUCUAGCCAUGGGCAGGUUGAAGGUUGGGUAACACUAACUGGAGGACCGAACCGACUAAUGUUGAAAAAUUAGCGGAUGACUUGUGGCUGGGGGUGAAAGGCCAAUCAAACCGGGAGAUAGCUGGUUCUCCCCGAAAGCUAUUUAGGUAGCGCCUCGUGAACUCAUCUUCGGGGGUAGAGCACUGUUUCGGCUAGGGGGCCAUCCCGGCUUACCAACCCGAUGCAAACUACGAAUACCGAAGAAUGUUAUCACGGGAGACACACGGCGGGUGCUAACGUCCGUCGUGAAGAGGGAAACAACCCAGACCGCCAGCUAAGGUCCCAAAGUCAUGGUUAAGUGGGAAACGAUGUGGGAAGGCACAGACAGCCAGGAUGUUGGCUUAGAAGCAGCCAUCAUUUAAAGAAAGCGUAAUAGCUCACUGGUCGAGUCGGCCUGCGCGGAAGAUGUAACGGGGCUAAACCAUGCACCGAAGCUGCGGCAGCGACACUAUGUGUUGUUGGGUAGGGGAGCGUUCUGUAAGCCGUUGAAGGUGGCCUGUGAGGGUUGCUGGAGGUAUCAGAAGUGCGAAUGCUGACAUAAGUAACGAUAAAGCGGGUGAAAAGCCCGCUCGCCGGAAGACCAAGGGUUCCUGUCCAACGUUAAUCGGGGCAGGGUGAGUCGACCCCUAAGGCGAGGCCGAAAGGCGUAGUCGAUGGGAAACAGGUUAAUAUUCCUGUACUUGGUGUUACUGCGAAGGGGGGACGGAGAAGGCUAUGUUAGCCGGGCGACGGUUGUCCCGGUUUAAGCAUGUAGGCGGAACGAUUAGGUAAAUCCGGUCGUUUUUUAACGCUGAGGUGUGAUGACGAGGCACUACGGUGCUGAAGUAACAAAUGCCCUGCUUCCAGGAAAAGCCUCUAAGCAUCAGGUAACAUCAAAUCGUACCCCAAACCGACACAGGUGGUCAGGUAGAGAAUACCAAGGCGCUUGAGAGAACUCGGGUGAAGGAACUAGGCAAAAUGGUGCCGUAACUUCGGGAGAAGGCACGCUGAUAUGUAGGUGAAGCCCCUGCGGGUGGAGCUGAAAUCAGUCGAAGAUACCAGCUGGCUGCAACUGUUUAUUAAAAACACAGCACUGUGCAAACACGAAAGUGGACGUAUACGGUGUGACGCCUGCCCGGUGCCGGAAGGUUAAUUGAUGGGGUUAGCGGCAACGCGAAGCUCUUGAUCGAAGCCCCGGUAAACGGCGGCCGUAACUAUAACGGUCCUAAGGUAGCGAAAUUCCUUGUCGGGUAAGUUCCGACCUGCACGAAUGGCGUAAUGAUGGCCAGGCUGUCUCCACCCGAGACUCAGUGAAAUUGAACUCGCUGUGAAGAUGCAGUGUACCCGCGGCAAGACGGAAAGACCCCGUGAACCUUUACUAUAGCUUGACACUGAACACUGGUCCUUGAUGUGUAGGAUAGGUGGGAGGCUUUGAAGUGUGGACGCCAGUCUGCAUGGAGCCGUCCUUGAAAUACCACCCUUUAAUGGCUGGUGUUCUAACGUAGACCCGUAAUCCGGGUUGCGGACAGUGUCUGGUGGGUAGUUUGACUGGGGCGGUCUCCUCCCAAAGAGUAACGGAGGAGCACGAAGGUUAGCUAAUCCUGGUCGGACAUCAGGAGGUUAGUGCAAUGGCAUAAGCUAGCUUGACUGCGAGAGUGACGGCUCGAGCAGGUGCGAAAGCAGGUCAUAGUGAUCCGGUGGUUCUGAAUGGAAGGGCCAUCGCUCAACGGAUAAAAGGUACUCCGGGGAUAACAGGCUGAUACCGCCCAAGAGUUCAUAUCGACGGCGGUGUUUGGCACCUCGAUGUCGGCUCAUCACAUCCUGGGGCUGAAGUAGGUCCCAAGGGUAUGGCUGUUCGCCAUUUAAAGUGGUACGCGAGCUGGGUUUAGAACGUCGUGAGACAGUUCGGUCCCUAUCUGCCGUGGGCGCUGGAGAAUUGAGGGGGGCUGCUCCUAGUACGAGAGGACCGGAGUGGACGCAUCACUGGUGUUCGGGUUGUCAUGCCAAUGGCACUGCCCGGUAGCUAAAUGCGGAAAAGAUAAGUGCUGAAAGCAUCUAAGCACGAAACUUGCCCCGAGAUGAGUUCUCCCUGAGACUUUAAGUCUCCUGAAGGAACGUUGAAGACGACGACGUUGAUAGGUCGGGUGUGUAAGCGCAGCGAUGCGUUGAGCUAACCGAUACUAAUGAACCGUGAGGCUUAACCUUACAACGCCGAAG
rnacentral:rRNA from 1 species